rnacentral:rRNA from 1 species
UACGGGGGGGCAAGCGUUGUUCGGAAUUACUGGGCGUAAAGGCGCGUAGGCGGCCUGCUAAGUCACACGUGAAAUCCCUCGGCUCAACCGGGGAACUGCGUGUGAUACUGGCGGCUUGAAUUCGGGAGAGGGAUGUGGAAUUCCAGGUGUAGCGGUGAAAUGCGUAGAUAUCUGGAGGAACACCGGUGGCGAAGGCGGCAUCCUGGACCGAGAUUGACGCUGCGUGCGAACGAAAGGCAGUGGGGAGUCAAACAG